ensembl:lncRNA
UGGAUCUCACACAGCUCUUUAUAUUUGUCAGAUUUAGAUUACAAUACAAAACACAGACUUAACACUUAGUAGGCCUUAAAUGAACGCCAGUGCCUUAGAGGUUUACAUUCUGUACUUUAGCCAGAACAUUACAACUUAUACCAUUAGAAAACAAAGGUUUUACUGACUGCACACAUAACUGUUACCGUAAUAAUUUGUCUUAUGAUUUCAAAAAAUAUUAGCUAUAAGCUUCAGUUUUUACAAAGCACUGGAAUAUCUGAACAGCUGGUAUACUGCGUUAUUAGUUGUGUGUGAAAAUGAUAUCAAAUGCUGCUACACGAUAUGAUAUUUCGCCCUCUCAGUGGUAUAACUCUAUGGUCCCAUCAUAUCACACAUUCAGUAAAAGAAAUACUUGGGUAAUACAUUAAAGUAACAAAGUGCUUUAUAAAUUGUAGCGUAUGUUUUCUUCAUAUUCUGGCUUAUUCUGUACAGUCCACACGCACAAUAUAAUCCCUAUUUACACUUUAAUAGAUAUAACACCAAACAGUGGACUACAGUUAAACAUUCAUUUAUUGCACAGUGCCCGCUGUAAGAUCCACAUAAUCCCACUUCGGCAAUCUGUUAUCAGUGUCUUCGAGACUGGAGCCAGUGUCACCUUUAUAUACGUACAUGUUGGUAGGAUAAGAAGUAAAGCAUUAUAUAGGAGCAAUGCAGAAACAAAAUGAACAAUCCAAAAAAUAAAUAAAUCCUACUGGUAUAUUGGCACGGUUUGAGAUGGAAAAUUCCACCAACAGUGACUUUGAGCCAAUGAUUAAUAUACACAAGUUGGUAGGGUCAGGAGUUAAGCAUUAUACAACAGCAAUACAAAAAAAAAUUCUUACCACCACAGCUGGCAUGGUAGAAAAUGGAAAAUUCCACUGAAACUAAAGGAGUGCUGCAAAGAAAGCAUCCUAAGCUGAGGACUUACUUAAGAAAACAAGCAUCACUUAGUAAAGAAUUUAGGUUACAUUCAGUGCGGUGGGCACCUUAAAAAGGUCAAACUAAUUCAAAAACUGCUUUUUGUACUUUCAUCUGAACCAACGAGUGUGAAUAUAUUUAAAUUAAAUAUCUAUUUUUGGAUCUAUGUCUUAAUCGUGGUUAUGCCACAAAGAUUUUAUUAAAUCAUUGUCGUACCGCACUAUGCAGGUGCUCAAUGACCUAAACUUAGAGGGCUUAGAGAAAUAUUACUUAAACUAUGCGAUGUUACUGAGCGACUAUCAAACAGCAGAGUUAUCCUGAAGGUUAAACAAGGUUGCAGUCUACUGACUGGUCUUCAUCAUUGAAGAUACAUAUAAUAUAGUACAACACUGGUCUAAAGCUACAUUAUCUGUCUUUGAUGCCAAUGUUUCUGCUUUUCCCUUCAUCUAACUUGUUUUUUUUGCUUGGUAUUGUGAUGUGUGGUUUAUGUGCUUGUAUGUUAGUGUAUUUAUAUACUGGUAUAUGUAUAUAGGAUGUUUGUGUACUUGGGUAUACUUUGUUCUGUAUGAACAACUGCAUGUUGUAAUCUCCACACGUGCAUGUGUGUUACCAGGCCAGCGGGGAGGCCAUUCGUGGACUCCUGGGGCUUUUUGGGAUUUCAGCAACUUGCUGAUCACUCAGAGCUCUC